rnacentral:lncRNA from 1 species
AGAAGAUGAAACUGGCCUCAUAGACUACUAUCCUUAACAGAAUCUUGAGGCUAUAAGUAAGUCCAACCUCUAAGAAGAGAUGUUCAGCUUCUUAAAUUCACAGAUAAAGGAACCAAGAAAUAGAGAACGAAAAUGACCUAUGGAGAGGAGAUGGUGCUGCUGGAAGUGGCAGAGCUGGCCUGGAACCAGGGUGUUUCCAGUGUACCGCUUGGCCUCUUCAUCCAGAGGAGCAGCAGAAACCACAGAGUGCUCACUCCGGACAGCUCAGGGAAAGGGGAGGCACGGUGCU